AAGCGGUGGAGCAUGUGUUUAAUUCGAAGCAACGCGAACGAACCUUACCAGGUCUUGACAUCCCGACGCUAUUUCUAGAGAUAGAAAGUUACUUCGGUACAUCGGUGACAGGUGGUGCAUGGUUGUCGUCAGCUCGUGUCGUGAGAUGUUGGGUUAAGUCCCGCAACGAGCGCAACCCCUAUUGUUAGUUGCCAUCAUUCAGUUGGGCACUCUAGCGAGACUGCCGGUAAUAAACCGGAGGAAGGUGGGAUGACGUCAAAUCAUCAUGCCCCUUAUGACCUGGGCUACACACGUGCUACAAUGGUUGGUACAACGAGUUGCGAGUCGGUGACGGCGAGCUAAUCUCUUAAAGCCAAUCUCAGUUCGGAUUGUAGGCUGCAACUCGCCUACAUGAAGUCGGAAUCGCUAGUAAUCGCGGAUCAGCACGCCGCGGUGAAUACGUUCCCGGGCCUU
rnacentral:rRNA from 1 species